rnacentral:tRNA from 1 species
UGGCUCAGCAGCUAAGAGCACUGGAUGCUCUUCCAGAGGACCUGGGUUCAAGUCCCAG